UACGGAGGGUGCGAGCGUUGUCCGGAAUUAUUGGGUUUAAAGGGUGCGUAGGCGGAAUAAUAAGUCAGAGGUGAAAGCCCACAGCUUAACUGUGGAACGGCCUUUGAUACUGUUAUUCUUGAGUAAAGUAUAGGUAGGCGGAAUUUAUGGUGUAGCGGUGAAAUGCAUAGAUACCAUAAAGAACUCCGAUAGCGAAGGCAGCUUACUGGACUUUUACUGACGCUGAGGCACGAAAGCGUGGGUAGCGAACGGG
rnacentral:rRNA from 1 species